rnacentral:rRNA from 1 species
GUGGGGAAUAUUGCACAAUGGGCGCAAGCCUGAUGCAGCAACGCCGCGUGAGGGAUGACGGCCUUCGGGUUGUAAACCUCUUUUAGUAGGGAAGAAGCGAAAGUGACGGUACCUGCAGAAAAAGCACCGGCUAACUACGUGCCAGCAGCCGCGGUAAUACGUAGGGUGCAAGCGUUGUCCGGAAUUAUUGGGCGUAAAGAGCUCGUAGGCGGCUUGUCGCGUCUGCUGUGAAAACCCGAGGCUCAACCUCGGGCCUGCAGUGGGUACGGGCAGGCUAGAGUGCGGUAGGGGAGAUUGGAAUUCCUGGUGUAGCGGUGGAAUGCGCAGAUAUCAGGAGGAACACCGAUGGCGAAGGCAGAUCUCUGGGCCGUAACUGACGCUGAGGAGCGAAAGCAUGGGGAGCGAACAGGAUUAGAUACCCUUGUAGUCC